AACGGCGUCCUGGAAGCCGGCUGGAGCGUGACAUGGAUUCAGCUAUCUGUGGAGUAGUGCCUUCAAAACAAAUUCUUCACCGGGCUGCAAUCCUUGUCACGCCGGUCUUCUUAUCUCGCGUACUAUCCC
rnacentral:precursor_RNA from 9 species